CGCGUAGGCGGCUUGAUAAGGCUGUGGUGAAAGUCCGGGGCUCAACCCCGGAUCGGCCGUGGCGACUGUUGGGCUGGAGCACUGUAGAGGCGAGCGGAAUUCCGGGUGUAGCGGUGGAAUGCGUAGAGAUCCGGAAGAACACCGGUGGCGAAGGCGGCUCGCUGGGCAGGAAGAUCCUCGCAAGGGGAUCGGCUGAGCUGAGGCGCACAGCGGUGGGAGCAAACA
rnacentral:rRNA from 1 species